rnacentral:rRNA from 1 species
GAUGAACGCUGGCGGCGUGCCUAACACAUGCAAGUCGAGCGAUUCCCUUCGGAGAAGAGCGGCGGACGGGUGAGUAACGCGUGGGUAACCUGCCCUGUACACACGGAUAACAUACCGAAAGGUAUGCUAAUACGAGAUAAUAUACUUUUAUCGCAUGGUAGUAGUAUCAAAGCUUUUGCGGUACAGGAUGGACCCGCGUCUGAUUAGCUAGUUGGUAAGGUAACGGCUUACCAAGGCGACGAUCAGUAGCCGACCUGAGUGGGUGAUCGGCCACAUUGGAACUGAGACACGGUCCAAACUCCUACGGGAGGCAGCAGUGGGGAAUAUUGCACAAUGGGCGAAAGCCUGAUGCAGCAACGCCGCGCGAGCGAUGAAGGCCUUCGGGUCGUAAAGCUCUGUCCUCAAGGAAGAUAAUGACGGUACUUGAGGAGGAAGCCCCGGCUAACUACGUGCCAGCAGCCGCAGUAACAC